UGCCAGACUCCUACGGGAGGCAGCAGUGGGGAAUAUUGCACAAUGGGGGAAACCCUGAUGCAGCGACGCCGCGUGAGCGAUGAAGUAUUUCGGUAUGUAAAGCUCUAUCAGCAGGGAAGAAGAUGACGGUACCUGACUAAGAAGCCCCGGCUAACUACGUGCCAGCAGCCGCGGUAAUACGUAGGGGGCAAGCGUUAUCCGGAUUUACUGGGUGUAAAGGGAGCGUAGACGGCGAUGCAAGCCAGAUGUGAAAGCCCGGGGCUCAACCCCGGGACUGCAUUUGGAACUGUGUGGCUGGAGUGUCGGAGAGGCAGGCGGAAUUCCUAGUGUAGCGGUGAAAUGCGUAGAUAUUAGGAGGAACACCAGUGGCGAAGGCGGCCUGCUGGACGAUGACUGACGUUGAGGCUCGAAAGCGUGGGGAGCAAACAGGAUUAGAUACCCCUGUAA
rnacentral:rRNA from 1 species